AGCGGCGGACGGGUGAGUAACACGUGGGUAACCUGCCUGUAAGACUGGGAUAACUCCGGGAAACCGGGGCUAAUACCGGAUGCUUGAUUGAACCGCAUGGUUCAAUCAUAAAAGGUGGCUUUUAGCUACCACUUGCAGAUGGACCCGCGGCGCAUUAGCUAGUUGGUGAGGUAACGGCUCACCAAGGCGACGAUGCGUAGCCGACCUGAGAGGGUGAUCGGCCACACUGGGACUGAGACACGGCCCAGACUCCUACGGGAGGCAGCAGUAGGGAAUCUUCCGCAAUGGACGAAAGUCUGACGGAGCAACGCCGCGUGAGUGAUGAAGGUUUUCGGAUCGUAAAACUCUGUUGUUAGGGAAGAACAAGUACCGUUCGAAUAGGGCGGUACCUUGACGGUACCUAACCAGAAAGCCACGGCUAACUACGUGCCAGCAGCCGCGGUAAUACGUAGGUGGCAAGCGUUGUCCGGAAUUAUUGGGCGUAAAGCGCGCGCAGGCGGUUUCUUAAGUCUGAUGUGAAAGCCCCCGGCUCAACCGGGGAGGGUCAUUGGAAACUGGGGAACUUGAGUGCAGAAGAGGAGAGUGGAAUUCCACGUGUAGCGGUGAAAUGCGUAGAGAUGUGGAGGAACACCAGUGGCGAAGGCGACUCUCUGGUC
rnacentral:rRNA from 1 species